AUUGAACGCUGGCGGCAGGCCUAACACAUGCAAGUCGAGCGGGGUUUUCGGACCUAGCGGCGGACGGGUGAGUAAUGCGUAGGAAGCUACCCGAUAGAGGGGGAUACCAGUUGGAAACGACUGUUAAUACCGCAUAAUGUCUACGGACCAAAGUGUGGGACCUUCGGGCCACAUGCUAUCGGAUGCGCCUACGUGGGAUUAGCUAGUUGGUGGGGUAAUGGCUCACCAAGGCGACGAUCCCUAGCUGGUUUGAGAGGAUGAUCAGCCACACUGGAACUGAGACACGGUCCAGACUCCUACGGGAGGCAGCAGUGGGGAAUAUUGGACAAUGGGCGCAAGCCUGAUCCAGCCAUGCCGCGUGUGUGAAGAAGGCCUCGGUUGUAAAGCACUUCUAGCGAGGAGGAAGGGUUAGUAGUUAAUAGCUGCUAAUUUUGUACGUUACUCGCAGAAGAAGCACCGGCUAACUCUGUG
rnacentral:rRNA from 1 species